rnacentral:rRNA from 1 species
GAUGAACGCUGGCGGCGUGCCUAACACAUGCAAGUCGAACGGAGAUUACGGACGGAAGUUUUCGGAUGGAAGACUGUAAUUCUUAGUGGCGGACGGGUGAGUAACGCGUGGGCAACCUGCCCUAUACAGGGGGAUAGCAGCUGGAAACGGCUGGUAAGACCGCAUAAGUCGGCGAGACCGCAUGGUUUUGCCGGGAAAUGAGCAAUCAGGUAUAGGAUGGGCCCGCGUCCGAUUAGCCAGUUGGCAGGGUAAAAGCCUACCAAAGCAACGAUCGGUAGACGGACUGAGAGGUCGGACGGCCACAUUGGGACUGAGACACGGCCCAAACUCCUACGGGAGGCAGCAGUGGGGGAUAUUGCACAAUGGAGGAAACUCUGAUGCAGCGACGCCGCGUGAGUGAAGAAGUAUUGCGGUAUGUAAAGCUCUAUCAGCAGGGAAGAUGAUGACGGUACCUGACUAAGAAGCCCCGGCUAACUACGUG